rnacentral:rRNA from 1 species
GACGUAGGGCGCGAGCGUUGUCCGGAUUUAUUGGGCGUAAAGAGCUCGUAGGCGGCUUGUCGCGUCGACUGUGAAAACCCACGGCUUAACUGUGGGCUUGCAGUCGAUACGGGCAGGCUAGAGUUCGGUAGGGGAGACUGGAAUUCCUGGUGUAGCGGUGAAAUGCGCAGAUAUCAGGAGGAACACCGGUGGCGAAGGCGGGUCUCUGGGCCGAUAUCGACGCUGAGGAGCGAAAGCGUGGGGAGCGAACAGG